rnacentral:rRNA from 1 species
GGACUACAAGGGUAUCUAAUCCCGUUCGCUCCCCUGGCUUUCGUGUCUCAGCGUCAGCAAGUCCCCAGCAGACUGUCUUCACCUUUGGCGUUCCAAGUGAUAUCUACGCAUUUCACCGCUCCACCACUUGUUCCAUCUGCCCCUAGACUGCUCAAGACCGCCAGUAUGCCCAGCAAUUCCCCGGUUGAGCCGGGGGAUUUCACAAGACACUUAACGGCCCGCCUACACACGCUUUAAGCCCAGUGAUUCCGCCUAACGCUCGGCACCUCUGUCUUACCGCGGCUGCUGGCAC